rnacentral:rRNA from 1 species
AUUGAACGCUGGCGGCAUGCUUUACACAUGCAAGUCGAACGGUAACAGGUUAAGCUGACGAGUGGCGAACGGGUGAGUAAUGCAUCGGAACGUGCCCGGUCGUGGGGGAUAACGCAGCGAAAGCUGCGCUAAUACCGCAUACGAUCUGAGGAUGAAAGCGGGGGACCGUAAGGCCUCGCGCGAUCGGAGCGGCCGAUGUCAGAUUAGGUAGUUGGUGGGGUAAAGGCUCACCAAGCCGACGAUCUGUAGCUGGUCUGAGAGGACGACCAGCCACACUGGGACUGAGACACGGCCCAGACUCCUACGGGAGGCAGCAGUGGGGAAUUUUGGACAAUGGGCGCAAGCCUGAUCCAGCAAUGCCGCGUGCAGGAAGAAGGCCUUCGGGUUGUAAACUGCUUUUGUACGGAGCGAAAAGGCUUUCUCUAAUACAGGAGGCUGAUGACGGUACCGUAAGAAUAAGCACCGGCUAACUACGUGCCAGCCGCCGCGGUAAUAC